AUGAAGGCAUUUCUUUGCUCUUUGACCGCUCUCUUAUUUGCUAUUCUGAGACUUCUGCACAACCCCCGAAAUUCCAAACGGCUAGCCCGAUCGAGAGAAACGGCCUCAUUGCUUUCAAGCACAGACCACAGAUCCGUUAGUGUGAUCAGGCUGAGGCUGGGAACUGCUCUCCCUUUCUGCUUCUUGCACCUGAAAACCAUCAUCAGUAACAACAUCAUUUCUUCCCGUAGGAAAGCCUCCCUGCUCCUCAUCUCCCACAGCAGGAACACCCAGCACCUGAAUCCCAUAAUUCCCAUCAGAGUCAUCUUGAAACCCAUCCUGAACCUAAUUCCCAUCAGAGUCAUCUUGAAACUCAUCCUGAACCUGAAUCCCUUCAUCUUGAAACUGCAUCCCAGAAUCCUCAUCAGAGUCAUACAAAGGCUGAGUCACAACAAUUUGCAUCUCACAAAUUUGGGGUUGUUGUUCAUGAUCAACCCAAUAGUAUGCAUUGCCUGACUGCUUCUUGGAAGCUGCUAAACUAAUUAUGAGACAAACCAUGAUAUCCAAGAAUACAUUUGCAUUGUAGAAUUAAUGUUGUUUAAUACCAUGUUAACUGCCAUGGGUAAAUGCUAUAGAAUCAUGGAAGCUGUCGUUUCACAAAGUCUUUGGUUGCUGUGAGUUUUCUGGGCUGUGUGGCCAUGUUCCAGAAGCAUUCUCUCUUGAUGUUUCGCCCACAUCUAUGGCACAUCCUCAGAGGUUGUGAGGUCUGUUGGAAACUAGGCAAGUAGGGUGUAUAUUUUUGUGCAAUGUCCAGGGCAGGAGAAAGAACUCUUGUUCGUUUGAGGCAAGUGCGAAUGUUGCCAUUGUCCACUUUGAUUAGCAUGGAAUGGCUUUUCAGCUUGAAAACCUCACUGCUUCCUGCCUGGCGGUAUCCUUUGUUGGGAGGUGUUAGCUGUCUUGAUUGUUUCAAGCUUGGAUUUACCCAGUUUUCUGAGUGUUGUUCUUUAUUUACUGUCCUAAUUUUAUAGUUUUUUUAAUACUGGGAACCAGAUUUUGUUCAUUUUCGUGGUUUCCUCAUUUCUGUUGAAAUUUUCCUCAUGUUUGUGAAUUUCAAUGGUUCCUCUGUGUAGUCUGACAUGGUCGUUCUUGGAGUGGUCCAACAUUUCUGUGUUCUGUAAUAAUAUGCUGUGUCCAGGUUGAUUCAUCAAGUGCUCUGCCAUGGCUGAUUUCUCUAGUUGAAUUAGUCUGCAGUGCCUUUCAUGUUCUUUGAUUCGUGUUUGGGAAUUGCUGUGUUUGGGGGUCCUUAUGUAGACUUGUCCACAGCUGCAUGGUGUAAAGUAAGAAGCCGGUUUGGCCGAAGUAAAAUGGCUAAAACGGAUCCAUGCACAAGUAUAUUGAACAUUAAAAACUCACCAUAAUAAUAUUUGACCUUUUUAAAAAUGGUCUUGCUGAACAAAAAAAGAAAAGAAAAUUAAAGGAAAUCAGUGAGCGUUGGUAUCUAUUAUUGGAGAGGACUAAUAUAAUCAAUUUUGCUUCAUGUAGUGGCAUGCAUUGGUGACUGGCUGAGUAUCUUUUGCAAUAGAGUUGCAUGCAUCUACAACACUGUGUACAUCUUUAGAUGCAUGCCAAAUGGCGCUAAGAUUUCAUGUACAUGUUCAACUGGGCGGCUUUCCAUGGGAACAUAUGUCACUUUGCAUUGCUUACAUUUCAAAGCGCCUUCCCAAAUGGAUUUAUUCUUAUUGGCAAAAUGAGGCCAAGAAACAUGCUAACCUUCAGGAUGAAACUUUUGGUUUUUCAAAAUGCGCUGGGCAGUCGUCAAAUAAGUCAGAUUUUUAGCAUUGGUAGCAAGAUCGUAAUUAUGCCGUCAACUAUUCUCUCCAAAUGAAAUCCUGUAUCAGUAAUGAUACAGUGGUACUUAAAGAUUUUAGGAGUUAUCCAAGGAAUUAUGCUAAUCCCAUACAACCAGCAUUGUACGCACUUCCCCCCU
ensembl:lncRNA